GGACAGUGUAGCGGCUGUCUGUGACCAAGUGGCACUAAGGAAGAUGGAGGGCUUCUGGGCCUCGUAUCACUUGGGCAUGUGUGCUGAAGUCGGGUCCGACCUAAGCUGGGUGUCAACAUAGUUUCCCUUCCGGAGGGAAGGUUAACUCGGUUGUCUAAGGAGGGGGGCAACGCGUCAGGCCGGAAACGGAACAGCGAAAACCCGCCGCACUCGGCAGUAGGCGGAUAGCCUGACU
rnacentral:SRP_RNA from 1 species